ACGGUUGAUACGCAUGCGCUUUAAGUGUACCUUAUUCUGAAUUAUACGAACGACCGCUAGCCAAUAUCUCAUUUUGAAUUCUGGAACAGAACCCUCCGAAUUGUACUAAAACCAGCUUCGCUCUACAAAAUUUUGUAAUACUCUUUAGAUUAAAAUGAGUGAAGAUAAUUCUUCUCUAAAUUUUGAGCAUUUAUUAGAUGCACAGCAAAUUGAUGCACAACCAAACACUGCUGAAGCUUUAAAUCCGGCUGCUGCAACAGAAAAUAAGUACAUAUUGGCCACAUAUGCAAAUGCAAGAAUAAUAGAGCAAAAUGUUUCACAGAGUGCAUUAUGUUGUAACUUUCAAUUUAGAAAUGGAAAAAUUGUUGAAGGUUUGCAAUGUUAAA
rnacentral:lncRNA from 1 species